AGAGUUUGAUCCUGGCUCAGGAUGAACGCUAGCUACAGGCUUAACACAUGCAAGUCGAGGGGAAACGACAUCGAAAGCUUGCUUUUGAUGGGCGUCGACCGGCGCACGGGUGAGUAACGCGUAUCCAACCUGCCCACCACUUGGGGAUAACCUUGCGAAAGUAAGACUAAUACCCAAUGAUAUCUCUAGAAGACAUCUGAAAGAGAUUAAAGAUUUAUCGGUGAUGGAUGGGGAUGCGUCUGAUUAGCUUGUUGGCGGGUAACGGCCACCAAGGCGACGAUCAGUAGGGGUUCUGAGGAGGAAGGUCCCCCACAUUGGAACUGAGACACGGUCCAAACUCCUACGGAGCA
rnacentral:rRNA from 1 species